rnacentral:lncRNA from 1 species
GCUUGCAUCUAGGGUUCCAGACUACUUUCCUAGGGUUUCUAUUUCCAACGUUGCCUCACUUUGGGUUUUAUUUAUUGUGCUACUUCCCUUUUUAGGUCUUAGAUGUUUUUUUUUCAAUUCCAUCAUCUGUUUGGUCAUGUUUUCCUGUAAUUCUUUAAGGGAUUUUUGUGCUUCCUCUUUAAGAUCUUCUACCAAUUUAGCAGUGUUCUCCUGUAUUUCUUUGAGUGAGUUAUUAAGAUCCUUCUUGAUGUCCUCUACCAUCAUCAUGAGAUAUUCUUUUAGAUCCAGGUCUAGCUUUUCAGGUGUGUUGGGGUGCCCUGGACUGGGCGAGGUGGGAGUGCUGGGUUCUGGUGAUGGUGAGUGGUCUUGGUUUCUGUUAGUAAGAUUCUUAUGUUUACCUUUCGCCAUCUGAUAAUCUCUGGAGUUAGUUGAUUUAGUUGUCUCUGGUUAGAGCUUGUUCCUCAGGUGAUACUGUUAGCCUCUAUCAGCAGACCUGGGAGACUAGAUCUCUCCUCUGAAUUUCAGUGGUCAGAGCACUCUCUGCAGGCAAGCUCUCCUCUUACAGGGAAGGUACACAGAUAUCUGGCUUUAGCACCUCCCUCUUGGCCGAAGACGAAGGCCCAAAACAGGACCUGUCCCGCAGCUGAGUUGCUUUGGCCUGUCCCAGAAGCUGUUAGCUUCUGUAUUCUACACUCUUACCCGUGCAGAAUACUCUUGGCGGGGUCCCGGAAAAAAGAUAUCUGCUGCAGAUGCUCAGGCAAAGCACUCCAGGGCCGGGUGGACCCCUAUCCUCUGGCCAGGAAAGUGGCCAGAUGUCUGUGGACUGAAAAGGAGGUUGCCUUAGAAGCUCUGUGGCUCCCGCCUGUCCCAGAAGCUGUUAGCUUCUGUAUUCCGCACACUCACCUGUGCAGAAUACUCUUGGCUGGGUCCCGGAACCAAGAUGUCUGCUGCCAAUGCUCAGGCAAUGUGCUCCCGGGCUGGGCGGACCCCUAUCCUCUGGGCGGGAAAGUGGCCGGAUGUCUGGGGUCUGUGCAGAAUACUCUCGGCGGGGUCCCGGAACCAAGAUGUCUGCUGCUGAUGCUCAGCUUGGAAUGUACAAAGCCAUAAAGAAAUGAAAUUUUAAGUAGUUCCAUGCGACUGGAGGGUGCAGCUUGUGACA